rnacentral:rRNA from 1 species
AGAACGAACGCUGGCGGCAUGCCUAACACAUGCAAGUCGAACGCCCCGCAAGGGGAGUGGCGGACGGGUGAGUAACACGUGGGAACCUGCCCAAUGGUCUGGAAUAACCGCGGGAAACUGCGGCUAAUACCGGAUAAGCCCGAGAGGGGAAAGAUUUAUCGCCGAUGGAGGGGCCCGCGUCCGAUUAGGUAGUUGGUGGGGUAAUGGCCUACCAAGCCUACGAUCGGUAGCUGGUCUGAGAGGAUGAUCAGCCACACUGGGACUGAGAUACGGCCCAGACUCCUACGGGAGGCAGCAGUGGGGAAUAUUGGACAAUGGGGGCAACCCUGAUCCAGCAAUGCCGCGUGAGUGAUGAAGGCCUUAGGGUUGUAAAGCUCUUUUGGCGGGGACGAUGAUGACGGUACCCGCAGAAUAAGCCCCGGCUAACUUCGUGCCAGCAGCCGC